rnacentral:lncRNA from 1 species
AUGUUCGUUGGAAUUAAUAUUUUCUUUCUGGUGGUGGCAACAAGAGGACUUGUCUUAGGAAUGCUGGGAAACGGGCUCAUUGGACUGGUAAACUGCAUUGAGUGGGCCAAGAGUUGGAAGGUCUCAUCAGCUGAUUUCAUCCUCACCAGCUUGGCUAUAGUCAGAAUCAUUCGACUGUAUUUAAUACUAUUUGAUUCAUUUAUAAUGGUAUUGUCCCCUCAUCUAUAUACCAUCCGUAAACUAGUAAAACUGUUUACUAUUCUUUGGGCAUUAAUUAAUCAGUUAAGUAUCUAGUUUGCCACCUGCCUAAGCAUUUUCUACUUGCUUAAGAUAGCCAAUUUCUCCCGCUUAUUUUUUGCCUGGCUGAAGUGGAGAAUGAACAGAGUGGUUCUUGUGCUUUUCCUGCGGUCUUUGUUCUUAUCGUUUGUUUACCUUUUUAUGUCCAAUGCCAUUAGUGAGUUGUGAAAAAAACAUGACUUUGCACUCAGAUACAAGUAAAAUAGUCUGUCUUCAAGGCCUUAGGCUUCUCAGCUUGACAUACGUUAUUCCCUUUCUUCUGACUCUGACCUCUUUGCUCCUUUUAUUUAUAUCCUUAGUGAGACACACCAAGAAUUUGCAGCUCAACUCUCUGGGCUCAAGGGACUCCAGCACAGAGGCCCAUAAAAGGGCCAUGAAAAUGGUGAUAGCCUUCCUCCUCCUUUUUUUUAUUAACUUUAUUUCCACUUUAAUAGGAGAUUGGAUCUUCCUUGAGGUAGAGAAUUAUCAGGUCAUGACGUUUAUUAUGAUGAUUUUACUUGCCUUUCCCUCAGGCCACUCAUUUAUUAUAAUUUUGGGAAACAACAAGCUAAGACAGAGCUCCUUGAGACUACUGUGGCAUCUUAAAUUCUCUCUGAAAAAAGCAAAACCUUUA